rnacentral:rRNA from 1 species
UACGUAGGGUGCGAGCGUUUAAUCGGAAUUACUGGGCGUAAAGCGUGCGCAGGCGGCGCGUUAAGACAGGUGUGAAAGCCCCGAGCUUAACUUGGGAAUUGCGCUUGUGACUGGCGUGCUGGAGUGUGGCAGAGGGAGGUGGAAUUCCACGUGUAGCAGUGAAAUGCGUAGAGAUGUGGAGGAACACCGAUGGCGAAGGCAGCCUCCUGGGCCAGCACUGACGCUCGAUGCACGAAAGCGUGGGGAGCAAACAGG